AUGAAUUUUCUAGUUGAUUCUUCAUUUUCAAAAUGCAGCUGGAUAAUGCUCUGCCACCUCCCCAUCCCCAGUAUGUCCAACAUAGUGAUUGUUCUGAAGAUUACAAACCUGACAAGUUUUUCAUUAUCCUUAGAGUGACUGUUCUUGUGUGUCCUUGUCAGUCCUGUUAGAGAUUCUUAGCCUUCAUCCAGAACAGUUAGCAGAUCAAAGUAUUUGUAUAAAUGGCUGUAAGAUACGUGAUCUCCAUGAAGAAGCAGAUGACUUGAUGCGUUACCACCCAAAAACACCUCUGGGUUCUGGAUUGCUUUCUCAGCUGUCAGCUCAUUCAGCUUAAAGACAGCAGCCUCUACACACAUCUUGAUAUGGAGAGCAGGUUGAGACAUUCCUACGAAAGAAAUGACAUGAAAUGCUCAAUGCAGUAGCCACAGUGGCAUGGCUCACUCCAUGUUAGUGAACUGCCUGUCUGCCUCAGGCUGCCAGCCAACAAGCUGUCAGCCUCUCCAGGUGAAGUGAAAUCUACAAGUUGGCCAGUUUACCCAGCUUUGGUUCUCAGCAGAGUACCAAGCUGCUCGUGCCUUACAUACAGCCUUUAAUCCUUUCUGGGAUGGCGUCCCCUGAUGCUAAAGAUGGAGACAAGGAUUUGGAGAUAGCAACAAACAAAAAGGAGAUUUCAUUUCACUGAUCGUGUUUGGUGUGGAGAUUACUGAUGAAGAGUUUGAGCUGCUACUUGACAGAAUCCCCCUUGAUGAAGAUGGAAAUGUCACAUACCCCCGGUUCAUGGCCAGGUUUGAUUCCUGGUAUGCAGCAUAUGCAUUUUAUUCCUCAUUUAGGGGUAGAAUUAUUUUUCAUCUAAGAAGCUCACAUAACAUUUCCAAACUGAUUCUCAUUUCUGAAAUGUGCUCCUUUAUGACAUAUUGCUUGCAUGCAAUAUGCUGAUUACAUUUAAAAUUAGCUGAUGUUAUGGGUAUAUACUGUUGAUAACUUAGUUUCUUUUUAAAUGUUUUGCAUGUUUUAGAAGACUUCAAAGGUAUGUAGCAUACCUCUGUAGGCUGGGAAAUAUGAAAGACUUCUAAUUAAAAGCUAAUUAUUUUUAAAAAUAAUAAAACAUAUAUUAAAU